UACGUAGGGGGCAAGCGUUGUCCGGAAUUAUUGGGCGUAAAGAGCGCGUAGGCGGUCUGGUAAGUCGGCUGUGAAAGUCCAGGGCUCAACCCUGGGAUGCCGGUCGAUACCGCCGGACUAGAGUUCGGAAGAGGCGAGUGGAAUUCCCGGUGUAGCGGUGAAAUGCGCAGAUAUCGGGAGGAACACCUAUGGCGAAGGCAGCUCGCUGGGACGUUACUGACGCUGAGACGCGAAAGCGUGGGGAGCAAACAGG
rnacentral:rRNA from 1 species